CAGCAGCCACGGUAAUACGUAGGGUGCAAGCGUUAAUCGGAAUUACUGGGCGUAAAGCGUGCGCAGGCGGUUUUGUAAGACAGAGGUGAAAUCCCCGGGCUCAACCUGGGAACUGCCUUUGUGACUGCAAGGCUGGAGUGCGGCAGAGGGGGAUGGAAUUCCGCGUGUAGCAGUGAAAUGCGUAGAUAUGCGGAGGAACACCGAUGGCGAAGGCAAUCCCCUGGGCCUGCACUGACGCUCAUGCACGAAAGCGUGGGGAGCAAACAGGAUUAGAUACCCCUGUAGUCCCUGUCUCUUAUAC
rnacentral:rRNA from 1 species